AAAAAAAAAAAAAAGUACAAAAUGGGAAUUUCAUUUUGUAAUUGUCCUGAAUGCUCUAAGUCUAUUUUCGUUUUACAAUGUUUGUCCAAGUAGACAUUCACUUUGUUGGAAACUGUCAUGUAUGCCGGCUUUUCAAUAUUGUGCUGUAUAUUCCCAGUUUACUUUUAACAGUUUCUCUAUGUAUGGAGACUGGUGAAGUAUUGACUGUGCCUUUGCUGUGUUCGGCUGAGGGCAGCCUUUUUUUGACCGGGGGGGAAUAUGUAACAGCCGUAAUUGUGUAGUGUCUCUUUAAGACACUCUAGUGUUGCUAGUGACGUCACAAGUAUGCGCCACGGCUACUCUGUAGAGAGCGUGGGAGAAACGUGCUACGACAGGUUAGCUUUCCUUAGUAAUGUUACGGGUUGUUUGGACUCUGCUAAUUUGCAUGUUUGAUAUUAUAGCAGCCGUUCAACCGGGCUUGUAAGGUUGGUGAAGAGAGUUUAUUAAAAGACAACACUGUGGAAAUUCCCAGUACCAGUGUGGCUGUGCGUUUUUGAUCGCCCAGACGAGUCUGCCGCCUCCUCUCCUCCCUUAAAUACAACCCGAGCGUUACAUGUUCAUUGAGCAAAUAUUUUUUUUACAAGUUCCUGUUCCCAGA